GCGUCUCUGUAGACUUUCCAAUUUCUUAUCUUCUGAUUUGCCUGCUCGGCUUCGAAUAUUUUCUUUCUUAGGUCAAUUAAGUUAUUUUUCAAUGCUUCAUCUACUGGUUUCCAGCGGUUUUUACAGCAUAAGCGUUGCGUAUGAGCUGACGCUAUAUGUUAUUUUCCGUUUCUGCAAAACCCAUUUAGGAGUUCAUUAGAUUUUUACACUAUGCCCUCUGUUGUAUGCAUAUUUGGA
rnacentral:lncRNA from 1 species